CAACCCUCAAGCCCCCGGGCUUGGUGCUGGGGAUCGGCCGUCACGGGCCGGCCCCGAAAUAGAUUGGCGGUCCCGCCGUCGCCUCCUCUGCGUAGUAGCAACACCUCGCACUGGGACGCGGCGCGGCCAUGCCGUAAAACCCCAACUUCUGAAA
rnacentral:misc_RNA from 1 species